AUUGAACGCUGGCGGCAGGCCUAACACAUGCAAGUCGAACGGUAACAGGAAACAGCUUGCUGUUUCGCUGACGAGUGGCGGACGGGUGAGUAAUGUCUGGGAAACUGCCUGAUGGAGGGGGAUAACUACUGGAAACGGUAGCUAAUACCGCAUAACGUCGCAAGACCAAAGAGGGGGACCUUCGGGCCUCUUGCCAUCGGAUGUGCCCAGAUGGGAUUAGCUAGUAGGUGGGGUAACGGCUGACCUAGGCGACGAUCCCUAGCUGGUCUGAGAGGAGUACCAGCCACACUGGAACUGAGACACGGUCCAGACUCCUACGGUAGGCCGCAGUGGGGAAUAUUGCACGAUGGGCGCAAGCCUGAUGCAGCCAUGCCGCGUGUAUGAAGAAGGCCUUCGGGUUGUAAAGUACUUUCAGCGGUGAGGAAGGGAGUAAAGUUAAUACCGGUACUCAUUGACGUUACCCGCAGAAGAAGCACCGGCUAACUCCGUG
rnacentral:rRNA from 1 species